ACGGAAGGCAGCAGUAAGGAAUCUUGCACAAUGGGGGAAACCCUGAUGCAGCAACGCCGCGUGAACGAUGAAGGCCUUCGGGUUGUAAAGUUCUGUUCUUAGGGAAGAAAGAAAUGACGGUACCUAAGGAGCAAGCCCCGGCUAACUACGUGCCAGCAGCCGCGGUAAUACGUAGGGGGCAAGCGUUAUCCGGAAUUAUUGGGCGUAAAGAGUGCGUAGGUGGUUACCUAAGCGCAAGGUUUAAUCUUGAGGCUUAACCUCAUUUUGCCUUGCGAACUGGGCUACUUGAGUGCAGGAGGGGAAAGCGGAAUUCCUAGUGUAGCGGUGAAAUGCGUAGAUAUUAGGAAGAACACCAGUGGCGAAGGCGGCUUUCUGGACUGUAACUGACACUGAGGCACGAAAGCGUGGGGAGCAAACAGGAUUAGAUACCCUGGUA
rnacentral:rRNA from 1 species